GACGAACCGUCCGAACGUUAUUCGGAAUUAUUGGGCUUAAAGGGUGCGUAGGCGGUGCUGUAAGUCGGGUGUGCAAUCCCACGGCUCAACCGUGGAACUGCGCUCGAUACUGCAGUGCUUGAGGGAGACAGAGGUAAGCGGAACUGAUGGUGGAGCGGUGAAAUGCGUUGAUAUCAUCAGGAACACCAGUGGCGAAAGCGGCUUACUGGGUCUCUUCUGACGCUGAGGCACGAAAGCUAGGGUAGCGAACGGG
rnacentral:rRNA from 1 species